rnacentral:rRNA from 1 species
GUUGGUAUUUCGUGCCAGAAAGUCACACCCGUUCCCAUCCCGAACACGGUAGUUAAGCUUCUCUGCGCCAAUGGUAGUUGGGGGCUUCCCCCUGCGAGAGUAGGUCGCUGCCGGGC